UACGUAGGGUGCAAGCGUUAAUCGGAAUUACUGGGCGUAAAGGGCGCGUAGGCGGUCAGCACAAGUCAGUUGUGAAAUCUCCGGGCUUAACUCGGAAAGGUCAACUGAUACUGUGCGACUAGAGUGCGGAAGGGGCAACUGGAAUUCUCGGUGUAGCGGUGAAAUGCGUAGAUAUCGAGAGGAACACCUGCGGCGAAGGCGGGUUGCUGGGCCGACACUGACGCUGAUGCGCGAAAGCCAGGGGAGCGAACGGG
rnacentral:rRNA from 1 species